UACGUAGGGCGCAAGCGUUGUCCGGAAUCAUUGGGCGUAAAGAGCUCGUAGGUGGUCUGUUACGUCUGCUGUGAAAUCCUAGGGCUUAACCCUGGGCCUGCAGUGGAUACGGGCAGACUAGAGGUAGGUAGGGGAGAAUGGAAUUCCCGGUGUAGCGGUGAAAUGCGCAGAUAUCGGGAGGAACACCGGUGGCGAAGGCGGUUCUCUGGGCCGAUACUGACGCUGAGGAGCGAAAGCGUGGGGAGCGAACAGGAUAGAUACC
rnacentral:rRNA from 1 species